rnacentral:lncRNA from 1 species
AACUCAUUUCAUUUCCAACACAUUUGGGAAGGAGGUCGUUGCUGUUGCACUCCUGGCAAGCUCCGCAUCACCGGGCCACCCCUAAGCAUCCAAACGGUCCCCCAGGGCUCACAGGUGCACUGCGCUGUGGCACCGCCGGCUGACCCGGGAGAAGCACGGCCAGCGCCUUCCCCGGUCACCCCAGGCCAGCAGGGGGAUCGGAGCUCUGUGGACGCGGAGGAUGGCCAAGGGUUACCCGGUCCCCGACAUACACGCAUCCCCCGGACAGCACCAGGAGAAAGGUGCGGGAGGCUCCGGGGGCCGGGAGAGCCCCGGCCGGGCGUGCCCACGCACCUGUCCCACCGCGGCGAGGGCUGGGGGCGCCUCUCAGGGCCGCAGUCCUCUGGGGUCACCUGGCCCUCUGUCCUGGGCUCCUACGCCAACCCCUGGGGCCCGGAAGGGAGGGGGGCGGCCCCCUGCCGCUGCCACCUGCGGCACCAGUCCCGCAGUUCCCGGGCUUGGUGGGCAGGACAGGGUAGGAGGUCCGUCCCGGGCUGGGGGCGGGACCCGCCGGGCGGUGGGGGACCGGGGCCACCGCAGCGACAACGGCAACAGCGCGUCUUCCGUCUCGGACGGACAGUCCUGCGCCCCGCUGCCUGGACCCUCGGACCCCAGGGUUCGCCCGCCCGACCCGGGAAGACGACGCAGCUGAGGCGCAAAAGAGCCGGCGACCAGCGCGGCGCCUACUCACCGGCUCCGCUCGCUCCCGCCGCGCCGCCGCAGCCCGCAGCCCGCAGCCGCCGCGGCUCCCCGAGCUCACGGAUGCUCCGCGAAAGGUCCCUGGGAUCCUACCGGCGCCUCCCGCAGCCGCCUCCAGGGGGCGGGCGAGAGCCGGCGCGAGGCAUCCUGGGAGAUGUAGUCCUGCGGCCCCUGCACAUUCACCCUCGCAGCUCUCCAUCCACGAACUGGUGGUGGUCCUUUCUUCCCCCGUGCUUCCUCUCUGUCUCCCUCAGGGGCUCACCUCCGCUUCUAGCUAAUAACUGUGGGAACGCUCCAGUCGAGCCCUGGGCCUCCUCUCCUCGCUCUAGAUCAGUGGUUCUCAAAAUGUGGUGGUACCUGCACCAGCAGCUUCAGCAUCGUCUGGGAACUUGGUAA